UUUAUUUAUUCAUAAAAACACCAAAAAAUAUUUUUUAUAUUCUUUAAUGUUUUAUUUAAUUUAUUUAAUUUUUAUUUUCAUAUUUUAUUUAAUAUUAAUAUUUUAUUUCAAUUAUUUAUUUCAAAUGGUUCUUUUGAGCAUACUUUGUUUCAUUUAUUUUAUUUUCAUGACUUAGAAUUAUUUUGAAUUUCCGAUUUUUGGGAUGAGGGUUGACCAAUGUCUCAUGGUCAACCUGACCCUUUAUUGGAAUUUUAUUUCCC
rnacentral:lncRNA from 1 species